rnacentral:rRNA from 1 species
CACGUAUGGGGCAAGCGUUGUUCGGAAUUAUUGGGCGUAAAGGGCGUGCAGGCGGCCGUGCAAGUCUGGUGUGAAAGGCUCGGGCUUAACCCGAGAGUCGCGCUGGAAACUGUGGGGCUUGAGUUCCGGAGAGGAAGCUAGAAUUCCAGGUGUAGGGGUGAAAUCUGUAGAUAUCUGGAAGAAUACCGGUGGCGAAGGCGAGCUUCUGGCCGAGAACUGACGCUGAGGCGCGAAAGCGUGGGGAGCAAAC